rnacentral:rRNA from 1 species
UACGUAGGGGGCAAGCGUUGUCCGGAUUUAUUGGGCGUAAAGAGCGUGUAGGCGGCUUGGUAGGUCCGCUGUGAAAACUCGAGGCUCAACCUCGAGAUGUCGGCGGAAACCACUUGGCUAGAGUCCGGAAGAGGAGAGUGGAAUUCCUGGUGUAGCGGUGAAAUGCGCAGAUAUCAGGAAGAACACCUAUGGCGAAGGCAGCUCUCUGGGACGGUACUGACGCUGAGACGCGAAAGCGUGGGGAGCGAUCGG